rnacentral:rRNA from 1 species
AUUGAACGCUGGCGGCAGGCCUAACACAUGCAAGUCGAGCGAGCGGCGGACGGGUGAGUAAUGUAUGGGGACUGCCCGAUAGAGGGGGAUAACUACUGGAAACGGUGGCUAAUACCGCAUACCAUCGGCUAACCCAUAUUGGAUUAGCUAGUAGGUGGGGUAAAGGCGCACCAAGGCGACGAUCCCUAGCUGGUCUGAGAGGAUGAUCAGCCACACUGGGACUGAGAGACGGCCCAGAAUCCUACGGAGGCAGCAGUGGGGAAGAUUGCAAAAUGGGCGCAAGCCGGAUGCAGCCAUGCCGCGUGUAGGAAGAAGGCCUUAGGGUUGUAAAGUACUGUCAGCGGGGAGGCGUUACCCGCAGAAGAAGCACCGGCUAACUCCGUGCCAGCAGCCGCGGUAAUUC